rnacentral:rRNA from 1 species
UACGUAGGCAGCGAGCGUUGUUCGGAAUUACUGGGCGUAAAGAGUGUGUAGGCGGUGCUCUAAGUUCCGGUGUGAAAUCUCCUGGCUCAACUGGGAGGGUGCGCCGGAAACUGGAGUGCUUGAGCGUGGGAGAGGAAAGCGGAAUUCCUGGUGUAGCGGUGAAAUGCGUAGAUAUCAGGAGGAACACCUGUGGUGUAGACGGCUUUCUGGACCAUAGCUGACGCUGAGACACGAAAGCGUGGGUAGCAAACAGG